rnacentral:lncRNA from 1 species
GUUGCAGGUUUUAAAAAAAAAUUCAAUUUAAAUUAUACAGCUUUCUCUAAAAAUUUAAUAUUGGAUUAAGUUAAAGAUGGUAAAAUUAGUGAUGGCAUCAUAUUUUUGGUGAUAAAUAUUAAAAUUGGAUAGAAAUAAAUUUGACAAUGAUAUUAAAUUCAAUUGUGGUACAAAAAUUUUGAAGGUGAAUGAUGAAAUUAAUGGUGGUCGUGUGGUAAAUUUGAUUUAUCACUAUAUUUGAUUUUGUUGUUGUUGUAAAUUUUUAUGCAACAAUUAUUCAUGGAGUAUUUAAGAGAAGGAUUUUGGAAAGAGAGGAGUUUGAAAGUGUAUUUUUUUUAGUGAUAUUGCAACGGGAAUAAUAGAUUCUUCGAAAGAGUAUUUUUCUGUUGUAUUCUUUCAUAUUUUUCUAAAAUUUUUCAAAAUUAAUAUGUGAUGAUUUUUUUCCUUCUAUGUUGAUGUAAUUCUAAAAUUACUGGUGGUAGUUUGAUGGAUGGUGAUGGUAGUGGUAUUGGAAGAUGAAGUUGGUGGAGGGAGAAGAAAAAGAUAAAAAGAGAUCACAAAAGAAAAAAAAAGCUUAUCAGUGGUGGUUAAUGGUGGCUGAAGAUGGAGUUGGUGGAGGAAGAAAGUUGGAAGAAGUUAAAAGAGAAAAUAGAAAAUCAUAAAAAAAGAACUCCUCACGCGUCUAAAUUUAGUGCAACACACACAAUGCUCUAUGUAAGGAAAAGGUGUCAAAAUGGUACACUUGGACACUUGUUUAGGUGCUUAAAGUAAAUAAUGGUUGCUUGAGAUGUCAAAAUGAAAAGUCAUGUCAAGUUUAAGAGGUUCGCGAUGUGUUUGACCUUUUUUUUCUUUAACGCUUAAGUACGAUAUUGUUAUUUUA